rnacentral:rRNA from 1 species
UGGGGAAUAUUGCACAAUGGGCGCAAGCCUGAUGCAGCCAUGCCGCGUGUAUGAAGAAGGCCUUCGGGUUGUAAAGUACUUUCAGUCGGGAGGAAGGUGGUAAGGUUAAUAACCUUGGCAAUUGACGUUACCGACAGAAGAAGCACCGGCUAACUCCGUGCCAGCAGCCGCGGUAAUACGGAGGGUGCAAGCGUUAAUCGGAAUUACUGGGCGUAAAGCGCACGCAGGCGGUUGAUUGAGUCAGAUGUGAAAUCCCCGGGCUUAACCGGGAAUUGCAUCUGAUACUGGUCAGCUAGAGUCUUGUAGAGGGUGGUAGAAUUCCGUGUGUAGCGGUGAAAUGCGUAGAGAUGUGGAGGAAUACCGGUGGCGAAGGCGGCCCCCUGGACAAAGACUGACGCUCAGGUGCGAAAGCGUGGGGAGCAAACAGG